CACAGCGUUUCCUCACAUCCAUUCACUCACACUCGAUCGCUCGUACAGCUAACAUCUGACACAGUGCAGGAACAAACACAAGGUUGGCAAGGAAGAGAAGUACGCGAUCGACGUAAUACAACUUUAAUGUAUGAAUCGCGCGCGUGUGCAAUACGGUGUAUUGUGUAAAGGAAUUAGUUGUGCGUAUGCGUAACUGGCUAUAUGGACGAACUUGAAGUCGAAAGAGAAAAAGGUGUGCGAGAGUAGACAGAGCGGCGGCGGCGAGCGCGGGUAAACGGGUCAGCAUUGGUAAGCACGAUUAGCCAAAAACGCGCAGUCGCGCGUUGAUCCUGUUGGGUGGGAGGCGAUCAGCUGUAAGCACGCGAGGAGCGAGAUGUUCGUCCUGCAGAGGUCUAUAUUAUCGCCCACCAGCAGAAAUUGUACGGGAUCAUGGGCACGUAUGCUUCCUCCUACGCAUCCUGCUAUAAAGGAUAUUCAACAGAAAGAGAUUCACGAAGUAUCUGGCGAUGUCAUACCUAUCAAUAUGGUGAAAGGUAUCGGUCAUUUAAGGGAUCCACGACUCAAUAAGGGUUUGGCAUUUACUUUGAAAGAAAGAAUAUCUUUGGGUAUACAUGGUUUACAGCCUCCAAGAUUCAAAACUCAGGAAGAACAAUUGGCUCUGUGCAAAGCUUCAGUUAUGAAGUACACAGAGGAUUUAAACCGUUAUCUUUAUCUCGUAGAACUGCAGGAAAGAAACGAGAGAUUAUUUUUCCGUCUAUUGAGCGAGAACAUCGAACAAAUGAUGCCAAUUGUUUAUACUCCUACCGUUGGAUUAGCCUGUCAAAAGUUUGGCGUUAUCUAUCGCAGACCUCGUGGAUUAUUUAUUACGAUAUAUGAUAAAGGUCAUAUUUAUGAAAUCUUAAACAACUGGCCCGAGCAAGCAGUUCGAGCGAUUUGCGUAACAGAUGGAGAAAGAAUUCUCGGUCUCGGCGAUCUUGGAGCUUGUGGAAUGGGAAUUCCAGUAGGGAAAUUAGCUCUUUAUACAGCUCUCGCCGGUAUAAAACCGCAUCAAUGCCUUCCAAUUACGAUCGAUGUUGGCACAAACAAUGAACAAUUGAGAAAUGAUCCUCAUUACAUUGGGCUUAACAAGCCCAGGAGCCAUGGCGCGGAGUACGAUGAAUUGAUCGAUGAAUUUAUGGCCGCUUGCGUGAAAAAAUAUGGUCAAAAUGUACUCAUUCAAUUUGAAGAUUUUGGAAAUCACAACGCUUUCCGUUUCUUGGAUAAAUAUCGUGACAAGUAUUGCACGUUUAACGAUGAUAUACAAGGUACUGCUGCAGUUGCGGUUGCUGGAAUUCUAGCAUCGGAAAGAAUAACUAAGAAAAGAAUAUCCGAAAACAAGUUCGUAUUUUUAGGCGCCGGCGAGGCAGCUAUUGGGAUAGCUAAUCUUUGCGUGAAAGCGAUGGAAGUAGACGGUUGCACAACUCAGCAAGCUCGUGAUAAUAUUUGGAUGAUGGAUAUUGAUGGAUUGCUGGUUCAUGAUCGGCCGGAAGGUAACCUGGAAGGUCAUAAGAUCUGGUACGCGAAAAAAUAUAAAGUCAUGAAAUCGUUAUUCGACGUCGUAAAGGAAAUAAAACCAUCGGUUUUGAUCGGUGCUUCAGCAGCAGCAGGGGCAUUCACUACCGAGGUGUUAAAAGAGAUGGCUAAAAACAAUGAAAGACCAUUAAUUUUUGCGUUGAGCAAUCCGACUAGCAAAGCGGAAUGCACGGCUCAACAAGCUUAUGAUCAUACAAAUGGGAAAUGUAUUUUUUCGUCAGGUUCUCCAUUCGGCGAUGUACAUUAUGGUGGAAAAAUUUACAAGCCGGGUCAAGGAAACAACGCGUACAUUUUUCCUGGAGUCGCAUUGGGUGUGAUCGCAACUGGAUGUCAUCAUAUCACCGAAGAUCUAUUCCUUCUUUCAGCUCAGGCCGUUGCUGAAAACGUAAAAGACGAACAUCUCGAAGUUGGUAGUGUUUAUCCACCAUUAGGUACUAUUCGUGAAUGUUCGAUUGAUAUCGCCGUACGAAUUGCCGAAUAUGCUUAUGCUAAGACUGGGUUGGCAAGUGAAUAUCCAGAGCCCAAGGACAAACGGGAAUUUAUUGUAAGUAAAAUGUAUGAUGCGAAUUACGACAGUCCACUGCCAAACGUUUAUGACUGGCCAGGAGACUAUGCCAAACCUCGUGUUUUGCCAGAUAAAGACACUGUCGAAAUCCGCCACGAUUUAAAACAUCUGUAGCGGAUUUCAUCGAAUGGGAUAUUCAGAGGCUAUUACUAUUAUCGAUAAAAAUAUCGCUAUGUUCUGCAUUAAAACUAUAAUAAGGUCGUGGACAAAUACAGGCAACAGUGUGAUUAUAAAACAAUUUUAGCUAUUAUGACGUGUUGGCGACUCGAAAGACGAGACGACUGCUCUGACAUAUAUACAGUCAUUUUAAAUUAAAUCAAAUUUCAAACAGAAUGACUUGAAAUAUGGUUAUAGUCCUCUAAUCUUUUAAACUUUGAUUCUGAAUCAUCAGAAAAUCAAAUUUUUUAAUCGUACUUUUUUCGCGUAUUAUACUUUGUAUGUACUUAUUUAUUAUUAAUUUAAAACUGCAAUUAUAUUUUACGACUGUUCACUAAUUUCAAAUGCAUCAUCUCAUGUAUUUAUUUUAUUUUUUUGUAUCUUUUAUCUCUAUUUGUAUUUAAAUUGAACAAUUAUGUUCGUAAAUCAAAAAGUAUUAUAAUAUUGUGAUACUUUUUUUUUUUAAUCAUUCAAGAAAUUAGUGAAUAGUUUAUUGCUUGUAGAAAUUACGUUUUAUAUAUAUAUAUAUAUAUAUGAUAUAUAUAUAUGUAUAAUAUUAUCACGUAUGUUAAUUUUUUUAAAGUUAUACUAAUAACUUUCUUUUCAAAACGUAUAUAUUGAAUAAACGUGUAGAAUUUAGCGAUAUAUUAUAUUUAAAAAAAGCGAUUAUUAUAUAUAAUCAUCAAAAGUAUACAAAUUUCAUAACACGAAGAUGUCCCGUUAGGUGUACUAUGUAAGACCACAUAAGUUGUCAUCGUUUCUUCGAUUUUAUAUUGCCUUAAUAAGCACUAUGAUUAGAAAAAACAGGACAACUUUGUAAAAUUCGUAUUUUUUGUACUGUAUUGUAAUUGUCACUGUUAAGUUAAGUAAAUAUGAAACUGAAAAUUUUGUCAAAAGGUUCCUAUAUGUUACGUGAAAUAGAAACUUUGAUGAUAA